AUUGAACGCUGGCGGCAUGCUUUACACAUGCAAGUCGAACGGUAACAGGCCUUCGGGUGCUGACGAGUGGCGAACGGGUGAGUAAUGCAUCGGAACGUGCCCAGAGGUGGGGGAUAACGCAGCGAAAGCUGUGCUAAUACCGCAUGUGAUCUGAGGAUGAAAGCGGGGGACCAGGCAGCAAUGUUUGGCCUCGCGCCUUUGGAGCGGCCGAUGUCAGAUUAGGUAGUUGGUGGGGUAAAGGCCUACCAAGCCGACGAUCUGUAGCUGGUCUAAGAGGACGACCAGCCACACUGGGACUGAGACACGGCCCAGACUCCUACGGGAGGCAGCAGUGGGGAAUUUUGGACAAUGGGCGCAAGCCUGAUCCAGCAAUGCCGCGUGCGGGAAGAAGGCCUUCGGGUUGUAAACCGCUUUUGUACGGAACGAAAAGGCUCUGGCUAAUACCUGGGGCUGAUGACGGUACCGUAAGAAUAAGCACCGGCUAACUACGUG
rnacentral:rRNA from 1 species